GCGGCCGAUGGCAGAUUAGGUAGUUGGUGGGAUAAAAGCUUACCAAGCCGACGAUCUGUAGCUGGUCUGAGAGGACGACCAGCCACACUGGGACUGAGACACGGCCCAGACUCCUACGGGAGGCAGCAGUGGGGAAUUUUGGACAAUGGGCGCAAGCCUGAUCCAGCCAUGCCGCGUGCAGGAUGAAGGCCUUCGGGUUGUAAACUGCUUUUGUACGGAACGAAAAGACUCCUUCUAAUAAAGGGGGUCCAUGACGGUACCGUAAGAAUAAGCACCGGCUAACUACGUGCCAGCAGCCGCGGUAAUACGUAGGGUGCGAGCGUUAAUCGGAAUUACUGGGCGUAAAGCGUGCGCAGGCGGUGAUGUAAGACAGAUGUGAAAUCCCCGGGCUCAACCUGGGAACUGCAUUUGUGACUGCAU
rnacentral:rRNA from 1 species